UCAAACUUGGUCAUUUAGAGGAAGUAAAAGUCGUAACAAGGUUUCCGUAGGUGAACCUGCGGAAGGAUCAUUAUUGAAUAAAUGUGUGAUAAGCUGUUGCUGGGUCCCUCAGGGGGGGGGAUUAUGGUGCACGCUUGUCAUCUUUAUUUCUCCACCUGUGCACCAUUUUGGUAGACCCUUAGGGAAAGGUAUUGUCUGAACGAUCGGAUAGUUUGAGGAUUGCUGUGUCUGCUGCUGCCCUUCUAAAGAAGGGAAAGGGGGUGGGUCAGCUUUGCCUUGUGUCUCUAGGUUCUAUGUCAUUUAUUUUAUACGCCUAUGAAUGUAACAGACAGAAUGUUGAUCUUGGGUCCCUGUAUUAGUACCCAUAUAAAAGUUGUAACAACUUUCAGCAACGGAUCUCUUGGCUCUCGCAUCGAUGAAGAACGCAGC
rnacentral:misc_RNA from 1 species